rnacentral:rRNA from 1 species
CAAUACAUCACCGGCGGACGGGUGCGUAACGCGUGGGAAUGUACCUAUUGGUUCGGAACAACACAGGGAAACUUGUGCUAAUACCGAAUGUGUCCUUACGGAGAAAGAUUUAUCGCCAAUAGAUCAGCCCGCGUCCGAUUAGCUAGUUGGUGGGGUAAAAGCCUACCAAGGCGACGAUCUGUAGCUGGUCUGAGAGGACGACCAGCCACACUGGGACUGAGACACGGCCCAG